UACGAAGGGGGCUAGCGUUGUUCGGAAUUACUGGGCGUAAAGCGCACGUAGGCGGAUUUGUAAGUCAGGGGUGAAAUCCCGGGGCUCAACCUCGGAACUGCCUUUGAAACUGCAAUGCUAGAAUCUUGGAGAGGCGAGUGGAAUUCCGAGUGUAGAGGUGAAAUUCGUAGAUAUUCGGAAGAACACCAGUGGCGAAGGCGACUCGCUGGACAAGUAUUGACGCUGAGGUGCGAAAGCGUGGGGAGCAAACAGG
rnacentral:rRNA from 1 species